rnacentral:rRNA from 1 species
UACAGGGGGGGCAAGCGUUGUUCGGAAUUACUGGGCGUAAAGAGUUUGUAGGUGGCUUGCUAAGUCAGACGUGAAAUCCCUCAGCUUAACUGGGGAACUGCGUCUGAUACUGGCGAGCUUGAGUGCAGGAGAGGAACGCGGAAUUCCAGGUGUAGCGGUGAAAUGCGUAGAUAUCUGGAGGAACACCGGUGGCGAAGGCGGCGUUCUGGACUGCAACUGACACUGAAAAACGAAAGCCAGGGGAGCAAACGGG